rnacentral:rRNA from 1 species
UACGGGGGGGGCAAGCGUUGUUCGGAAUUACUGGGCGUAAAGGGCUCGUAGGCGGCCAACUAAGUCAGACGUGAAAUCCCCAGGCUCAACCGGGGAACUGCGUCUGAUACUGGAUGGCUAGAGGUUGGGAGAGGGAUGCGGAAUUCCAGGUGUAGCGGUGAAAUGCGUAGAUAUCUGGAGGAACACCGGUGGCGAAGGCGGCAUCCUGGACCGGCAUUGACGCUGAGGCGCGAAAGCUAGGGGAGCAAACGGG